CCCCUAGAUGUUCUGGGCCGCACGCGCGCUACACUGAUCAGUGCAACAAGCAUCCGUCCUUGGCCGACAGGCCCGGGCAAUCUUUGAACGCUGAUCGUGAUGGGGAUAGACUUUUGCAAUUUUUGGUCUUCAACGAGGAAUUCCUAGUAAACGCAAGUCAUCAACUUGCAUUGAUUACGUCCCUGCCCUUUGUACACACCGCCCGUCGCACCUACCGAUUGAAUGGUCCGGUGAAGCCUCCGGAUUGGCGCGCACCUCGGUGCCGCCGAGAAGUUGGCUAAACCUUACCAUUUAGAGGAAGGUGAAGUCGUANCA
rnacentral:rRNA from 1 species